UACGGAGGAUGCGAGCGUUAUCCGGAUUUAUUGGGUUUAAAGGGUGCGCAGGCGGUCUGUUAAGUCAGCGGUCAAAGCCCGGGGCUCAACCCCGGCCCGCCGUUGAAACUGGCAGUCUCGAGUUGGAGAGAAGUAUGCGGAAUGCGCGGUGUAGCGGUGAAAUGCAUAGAUAUCAGGAGGAACAUCGGUGGCGUAAGCGCUUUACUGGGCCGUAAUUGACGCUGAGGAACGAAAGCCAGGGUAGCAAAUGGG
rnacentral:rRNA from 1 species